rnacentral:rRNA from 1 species
GAUUAACGCUAGCGGCAGGCAUAAUACAUGCAAGUUGAACGGGAUUAGUUGUAGCAAUAUGACUAUGAGAGUAGCGCACGGGUGCGUAACGCGUAUGCAACCUGCCUUCAUCUGGGGAAUAGCCCCUCGAAAGAGGGGAUUAAUACCGCAUAACAUAGUGAGUAGGCAUCUACUUACUAUUAAAACUACGGUGGAUGAAGAUGGGCAUGCGUGACAUUAGCUAGUUGGUAGGGUAAUGGCCUACCAAGGCUACGAUGUCUAGGGGGUCUGAGAGGAUGUCCCCCCACACUGGUACUGAGAUACGGACCAGACUCCUACGGGAGGCAGCAGUAGGGAAUAUUGGUCAAUGGGCGCAAGCCUGAACCAGCCAUGCCGCGUGCAGGAUGACGGCCCUAUGGGUUGUAAACUGCUUUUGACGGGAGAAACCUCAUUACGUGUAAUGAGUUGACGGUACCGUGAGAAUAAGGAUCGGCUAACUUCGUG